rnacentral:rRNA from 1 species
UGGGGAAUAUUGGACAAUGGGCGCAAGCCUGAUCCAGCCAUGCCGCGUGAGUGAUGACGGCCUUAGGGUUGUAAAGCUCUUUCGCUCGGGACGAUAAUGACGGUACCGAGAUAAGAAGCCCCGGCUAACUUCGUGCCAGCAGCCGCGGUAAUACGAAGGGGGCUAGCGUUGUUCGGAAUUACUGGGCGUAAAGCGCGUGUAGGCGGGUCCUUAAGUCAGGGGUGAAAUGCCAAGGCUCAACCUUGGAACUGCCUUUGAUACUGGGGACCUUGAGUCCGGGAGAGGUGAGUGGAACUGCGAGUGUAGAGGUGAAAUUCGUAGAUAUUCGCAAGAACACCAGUGGCGAAGGCGGCUCACUGGCCCGGAACUGACGCUGAGACGCGAAAGCGUGGGGAGCAAACAGGAUUAGAUACCCUGGUAGUCCACGCUGUAAACGAUGGAUGCUAGCCGUUGGGGAGCUUGCUCUUCAGUGGCGCAGCUAACGCUUUAAGCAUCCCGCCUGGGGAGUACGGUCGCAAGA